GUCGGGAUAGCUCCAGUUGGUAGGAGGCAGAG
rnacentral:tRNA from 1 species